UCCUACUCUUAUUCUCUCUUAUGAAACCCUAAACGGCCAAGAGAAUUCUUCUUCUUUAUGUUUCCAGCGGCAAGAAAACUUGACAAGGUUUUUUGAUAACAAUCAUGAUAAUAUAGUUAUACUAUAUUACGUCCCAAAAAGUUUUCUGUAACAAUCGUGAUAAUCUCUUUACAGGAGUUACGAGAUUGCCUUUCAAGCACUCUACAGAUAGAAUAGAGCUUCAAAUUGCAACUAACCGUUUAGUUCAGGAACGCCUUGACAUGCAUUGCAGAAACUACAAGCAUUCGUAGACGAAUGGUGUUAUACGGGAUGACCUGCUUGCAUCCAGGAGCUCCCUGGGAUAGCAAGUCUGCCUUUGCUAUCCAAAGUGUCACAAGUUUGCGUGAUGAAACCAAGAUGAGUUCUCUAUCCUUAAUUCAAAUGCAUCCGGGUCAAAUCGGGACGGGGCGAGGUGAGGCCGAAGCCAAGCUUUACCAAAUUAUAUCGCCUAUCGGGAUUGGGCGAGGCGAAGCCGAGCUUUCCCAAGUCAUAUCAGGACUGGGCGAGGCGAAGUCGAUCUUUACCAAGUCAUAUCGGGACGGGGCGAGACGAAGCCGAGCUUUACCAAAUUAUAUCGCCUGUCGGGAUUGGGCGAGGCGAAUCCGAGCUUUACCAAGUCAUAUCGGGACGGGGCGAGGCGAAGCCGAGCUUUACCAAAUCAAAAAUAUGGUUCAAAGAAAGAGUCAGUGAUGCAUUGUAUUUGUAGUUGGUUGAUAACUAUCCCGUUCUAUUUGUAUUUGUAGAUUGAA